rnacentral:rRNA from 1 species
UAUGGAGGGGGCUAGCGUUGUUCGGAAUUACUGGGCGUAAAGCGCACGUAGGCGGCUUUGUAAGUUAGAGGUGAAAGCCCAGGGCUUAACUCUGGAAUUGCCUUUAAGACUGCAUCGCUAGAAUCGUGGAGAGGUGAGUGGAAUUCCGAGUGUAGAGGUGAAAUUCGUAGAUAUUCGGAAGAACACCAGUGGCGAAGGCGACUCACUGGACACGUAUUGACGCUGAGGUGCGAAAGCGUGGGGAGCAAACAGG